rnacentral:lncRNA from 1 species
AAUUUCGUGUUUCUAAUCUGUUCUGAGAGAAUCGGAUAAUGUCGCAGCUGGGCAGGCACAGAACGGUCAGCUUAGCUUGGAUGCAUCAUCUCCAAAAAUAACCCCCAAGUCUGGCUAUUAAAUUGCUCUUUCUAAUGGGUUUUCUGUUGGGAUGGAUUAGAAUUCUUCAUUGUCACAGACACAGGAUGAGAGUGAGAGAACCACAGAUGAACUCCAUGAAAGGUAAAUAUAUUUUCAAAGGUAGCUUUGUACAAAGCCUAAAAGGAUCAUGGAAGGUAGUAAUUUAUGAUUCAAUCAGGACCUAUUUAACGUUAUUAGUAUUCUUGAGAAAAAUAUUUUAAAUCAGAAAUCCUCCUAAAGCCCCUGAAGUUUGCAGAGAUGAAGAAGAAAAAAAAUUGAAACUGCUUUGAAAAUGUUCCCACUCGGAACAUCAACUUGGAAUUUAAAAUGAUUCUUCAUCUUUGAAAUGGGCAAGGCAAAAGAGAGAUGGGGCAGUGCCCUUUAAGAAUCAUCAGGUCAUCUGUGAGCUUGCAAGAACUGGCCUUCUUCAAAAUUGAAAGACAGGUUUUUUUCAGCCCUGUUGGGCUAGAGGCAUUAUGGGAAAAAAGUCAUUCUGAUCUUGGGCAGACGUGAGAGUGAAGAAGUAUUAGCAAAUAUGGAGAAGUUUGAGUUCUGAGUGAGGGUUUUGAUUCUGAUUUCAUCAGUCAUUCUCCCCUACACCCCAUCUCCCCUCCAAUCCCAAGACAGAAGUCUUGAAUGGUGGUUUUAUACUAUUACUUUCAUUUGAAACCAUUAUUACCCACAUGAUGUGAUUUACUUACAUUCAUCAACAGGCCACUGACUAGAUAGACUUACUGCAGAAAUUUAAGCAGUCACGUGAUGUCCUUAGCGAUCCACUUUUGAAUGUUAGUGACUAGGUCCUGUGCUAAUGAUCACAUUUCUUUAAUCUGGGGAGAUCAGAACACAAUUCAACCUAGAAAGUAUCCGUUACUUUAAAUAUAGAAAUCCGGUACUUAUCAUGAGAAACAUGUAUUAACCUUCAGAACUAUGUAAAUCAGGGAACUGGCUGGUAAUGAGAUAUGGACUGUUGUGGAUAUCCUAGGGAAAGCUCCCCUGGGAGA